rnacentral:lncRNA from 1 species
UAUAUAUUCAGAUUUACAUUUAUAUAUUCAGACAGACAUUUAUAUAUUCAGAAUUAUAACUAUAUAUUCAGAUUUACUUCUAUAUAUUCAGGCUUAUAACUUUAUAUAUAUAUAUAUGUGUGUGUGUGUGUGUGUUGUGUGUAUGUGUAUGCAUGUAUGUAUGGUGUUCCAGUUUAAUGCAUUGAAAUGGGUUUCACGAAUGUGUAAAAAAAUAAGAGUUCAGUACUCUAUAUAAAAAAACAUCUGAUUAAUGAUCUGAAAAUAUACAUAAAUAUACAUAAAUGGUGUUCAAGUUUCAUGGAUAUAAAUGGGUUCCGUACUGUAAAAAUAAUAAUAAUAAUAUGAAAACCAAGCCUUGUGCAUUAUAGAGAAUAAAAUAUCGAGAUGUUUACAGUUGGUCUGAUACCUUUAUCUCAAACAGUGUCAGAGUUUAAAGGGGUCCUAUUAUGCUCUUUUAUAAUGUCUUGAUUGUCUUAUUUUGGGGUGUACUAGAACAUGCUUGCAUGCAUUUACUAUGUACAGAUAUGUAUUAUGUAUUAUGCAUAUGUAUUAUUUUUUAUUGUUAUUUAAUUCUAUCAUAAUAACAUGAAUUCAUUUAUACCAUAGUCCAGUUCUAGGCGGCAUAUGUAUGCAAACUCAUUGUCUGGCAGCAGGAGUCGCUGUUGGAGUGAUACAGAUCAAGGUUUUCCAGCUGUAGUACAAACACAUGUAACUACAGUCAUGAAUACACAAUCCAUUCAGCAGCAGCCUGUAAUGCAGGGAGGCCAGUACGCACAAUACCAACCAGUGCCGACUCAACCAGGUUACGGAGGUCAGCCUAUGCAGACAGAACCAUAUCAGGAACAGUCAAAUGCACCUGGACCCCCACCCUUGUAUCAUGUGGCCAGUAAGAACACCUAGUACUGGAUUGACCGAGACCAUGUAGUAUCUGGAGGCUGGUAAGAUCUGCAAACAUCUCUACCUGUUUCACAAAGAAUAAAGCCUAGCACAUUCUGCAAGACCAAAUGUUGCUGAACUUUUACUGUUUUAAGUCUGUGACAAGAAGUUCAUGUUGCAACAAAAUUCCCAUACUUGUACUUAAUUGAUACUUUAUACAUUGUUUUUUUACUUUUUACAUGAUAAUUUUACAUACUUGUAAAAUUGCCAUACUUGUACAUAGAGGGAUUAUUCACCCAAAAAUGAAAAUUCUGUCGUCAUUUAUUCACCCUCAAGCACAAAAGAUGAUAUGUUGAAGAAUGUUGUAAACCAGACAGUUGACGGUAGCCAUGCACUGACUUCCAUAUUAUUUAUUUUCCAUACCAUGGAAGUCAAUGGCUACUGUGAACUGUUACCAGCAUUCUUCAGAAUAUCCUCUUUUGUGUUCAGCAGAAAAAAUACACAAUAGUGGAACUAUUGCUAAAUCUAGCCGACCCAUUCGUCUUCGACAAGCAAGAAAGCAAAUGUGACCCUGGACCACAAAACCUUAAGUCUUAAGUGUCAAUUUUUCGAUUGAGAUUGAGUUUGAGGAUCAGGCAAU